rnacentral:misc_RNA from 1 species
UGGCUCUCGCAUCGAUGAAGAACGCAGCGAAAUGCGAUAAGUAAUGUGAAUUGCAGAAUUCAGUGAAUCAUCGAAUCUUUGAACGCAUCUUGCGCUCCUUGGUAUUCCGAGGAGCAUGCCUGUUUGAGUGUCAGUAACUUCUCAACUUUCUCUGGCUUUCGUAGCUAGACCAAGUUUGGAUCUGGAGGUGUUUUGCAGGCUUCUUCAUUUGAGCCAGCUCCUCUGAAAUGCAUUAGUAGCACCUCUGGUUUCUGGCUAUUGGCAUGGUAAUUAUCAAUGUCACUGGUCAAAAACAAAUAUAGUGGUGAUGCUGCUUCAAAGUGUCUCUUACAAAAGACAAUGAAAUGACAAAUUUGGCCUCAAAUCAGGUAGGACUACCCGCUGA